rnacentral:rRNA from 5 species
GGACCUCAGAUCAGGCAAGAUUACCCGCUGAGUUUAAGCAUAUCACUAAGC